rnacentral:tRNA from 1 species
UCCAGGGUAGCCUAGUGGACAUGGCACCUGCCCGGUAAGCAGAAGGUUUUGGGUUCGAUUCCCGCCCCUGGAC